rnacentral:SRP_RNA from 2 species
UGCUAGGCUUGACCGGGGGGUUAGGCGUCCCCUUGUACACCAGCAUCGUCUUCAGUGGGGGUGACAGCCAGGGACGGCGUCGGGCGGAUCCGGUCGCUCGUUCAGUUCCGUGGAAGCUCUGUUCCAUCAGGUCGCGGGCACUGCGACGGGCCCUCGGAGGAGGGCCCUAGCGGUUACCCAUCAUGGGUACCGGGUCAGGUCCUGACGGGAGCAGCCCUACCAUGACCCGUCGACGCCGAUGGGGCAACGGGGCGGAGGAACGGUUCGAGGCUCACGGCCGGACCCUCACGGCGUCAACCCUGGUGGCCUAGCA